CUAGGUGCUGGUUAUGCAGCAGUGAAUAAAACAGAAAAAUCUGUACCCUCAUGGAACUUACAAUCUUGUGGAAAGAGAGAGAAUAAAUAAGACAUAUGGUAUGUUAGACAGGAUAGGAAAAUUUAUCUCAGAAUUUAGUAGAUUGGUUUUCAUUGGGAUUUAAUGGAUGAUCACUCUCUGCCCUCCUUAUCUUUUGUGUGCCUAUAUAUGUCUGUGUGUAGUAUCCCUCACUGUCUGCUGGGGACCAGUUCCAGGACCACCUGUGGAUUCCAAAAUCCACUCAAGCCCCACAGUUGCCUGUUGAGAACUUGUGGAUACAAAAAGCUGGCCUAUUUUUGCAGCUUUCGUGUCCCACAAUACCAUAUUUUUGAUCCAAGUUGGUUGCAGAUGCAAAAUUGCCCAUACUGAGGGCUGACAUAUUUAUUGCA
rnacentral:lncRNA from 10 species